AAAGUUGUUUGACCAAAAGCAAGUCCUGCACAGCAACGUACUACAGGCUGCCAUAAACUGCAGCUUCUGGUGGGAAUAAGAUGUGGAAGCUGAAGUCCUCGCCUUCUAUGUGGAGCGUUCUCAGGCCAGUAGUAACACUGUAUUAGGGAGUUGCACUUUGAGCUGUUGAAUUCAGCAUUGAGUGCACCAGCCCAAAAACUCCCAGUCCUAAAUCUCUCCAAAAUAUUUUACAUCGUCCAUCGUAUAAGUAAGAAAUCUAACAGCCCUUAUGUUUUACGCAGUCUAUCACAGAACAAUAUUUCUAGUGUGGGAGCAAAGAAACUAGCAGCUGCUCUUCCAUCGCUGCGCUCAUUACAGACACUGAGCCUAUUUAAUAACAAUAUCUGUGACAUGGGAGCUGAAGAACUGGCCAGUAUACUUCCUGAUAUGACAUCGCUCGAGGCAUUACAUUUGGAUCUGAACAGGAUCUCAUGCACUGGAGCAGAGCAACUUGCAGCGAGUCUUCAGAAGUGUCCUAAAAUGAGAAGUCUAAGGAUGUAUAAUAUGACCAUUCCUCAUGCCGCUCUGCAGCGUCUUCAGCAGCGAGAUUCACGCAUCAGCUGUCUUUCUAUUGGGUGAUGAGGUGAGAAAUAAAGAAAGCCCAAGAAGAGCUAUUCCUAAUAACUUGAUACGCUUCAAGUGAAGAAGUGAAGCAUUUGCACUAUUUGAAUAUUUCAGAAUUGCACUAAUGGCCAGUAGAUAAAUGUUUGCUUUUCUCA